GGCUCCUUGAAGGACUUCUCUGGCCGGGGGCAGAGGCUCUCUGGGGAAGUCCGAUGGUGUAGGACCCUACGCCAAGGGGUCCCCUAUCUCAUCCUCAGGGCCCCGGCCCAGGAGUUCUCGCUUCUCGUCCGUGCUGGCCAGGGAGUGGCGACUGCCAUGGCCCCCCAUGUAGAGUGUGGCAUACACGGGGUUGGUGAAGUUGGUGGGCUUGUCAGGGUCCAGGGCAA
rnacentral:misc_RNA from 1 species